rnacentral:rRNA from 1 species
AACGAACGCUGGCGGCAUGCCUAACACAUGCAAGUCGAACGAGACCUUCGGGUCUAGUGGCGCACGGGUGCGUAACGCGUGGGAACCUGCCCUUAGGUUCGGAAUAACUCCCCGAAAGGGGUGCUAAUACCGGAUAAUGUCUUCGGACCAAAGAUUUAUCGCCUUUGGAUGGGCCCGCGUUGGAUUAGCUAGUUGGUAGGGUAAAAGCCUACCAAGGCGACGAUCCAUAGCUGGUCUGAGAGGAUGAUCAGCCACACUGGGACUGAGACACGGCCCAGACUCCUACGGGAGGCAGCAGUGGGGAAUAUUGGACAAUGGGCGAAGGCCUGAUCCAGCAAUGCCGCGUGAGUGAUGAAGGCCUUAGGGUUGUAAAGCUCUUUUACCCGGGAUGAUAAUGACAGUACCGGGAGAAUAAGCUCCGGCGAACUCCGU